CAGCACCUUUAAAAAAAACACAACACCCUCACACACAGCACACUAACAGCACCCUCACAAACACACACACACACACACAGACAGCACCCUCACAAAUACACAACACUCACACAAACAGCACCCUCACAGGACAAACAUACACACACAAACAGCACAGUCACAAACACACACACACACACACAAACACCCUCACAUCACACUAACAGCACCCUCACACACACAUCACAC